AGCAGGAAGAGGAUCAGAGCAGCCUCCACCCGGCUGGUUGGCCUGGGAGCCACCAGAGACCCUCCAUGAGCCCUCAGAGGUUUUCCCCAACCCCAUCCCCGGACCUGCCACCCCAUCAUGCUGCAUCGGCUCACAGUGGUGAAGGUCAGCCACCUAGGGAGCAGCCAGAGGAGCACAAGAGACUGACGGAGCAAGGACAACAGGCACAGACGCAAUGGCUGCCACCAGUACUGAAAGCUACAGGAGUCUCCCUCUGUGACUGGAUCUGCCCCACCUCUGGGGACCCGAAGGGCACAAACGUCUGUGAUCCUGCAGUUCCAGGCUCCGUGAAAGGGGGGCGCUGGGAGUGUGCAGUCAGUCUCCACGAGGGCGCAGCUGAGUCUGUGAGAGAAGCUCUGAGCCCAAGAUUCCGUGAUGCAGAUGCCGCGGAGGGACGGUGAGAUGGCGAGAUCCGAAAAUCCCCCGCAGCGAGAGGAGGACGGUUCCAGACCUCCUGGUGCCUCAGGAUCUGCAGGAGGACAAGGUGGAGCAGGGGAUCUCUGGGGUCCUGGUUACUGAUUCAUUCCGCCCCACUCCCCUGCCAUGGCCCGGGUUCACCCCAGACUCUCCCCUCGAGGAUCCAGGGUUCUGGGGGGUGAACCAAACAUCCCAGAAGCCCCCACCUGAGGGGCUCCCCUCCUCCACCUGAGCCUGGUCAACCUGCCAGCAGAACUAGCCCUCCCAGGAAGGAGCCUGCAAACUGCCUUCUGGAUUCCUCCACUCACCUCCUGGAGAAUGGAUCUCCAGCCCAGGGAGGGGACUGGGGAGCCGCCUGGCUUCUCUCCUCACCCCAGGCCAGGACCGGUGGUGUGUGUGUGCACCCUGACUGCCGCCCAGCUCCCCAGCGGAGCUGUCUAUUGAACUAACCCAGGUUAAUCCAACCCCAGGGACUCCUGCGUCUGCUCCUCACCAGGGCUAAAUGGGCCCUGAAGCCCCAGGGGACAAAGCCCAGGGGGCCAAGGCCCCAGCAGACGGACACCCAGCUGAGCAGAUUUUCCCCUGGGAUAUUAAUUACAGGAGGACAGCAGGCGCACUCAGAUGCCAGCAGAAAUUUUCUGGUGCAGUUCGCUCAGAUAAGAAGCAGCAGGAGUGGGAACCAGGGGCCCGCUGUCACUCAGCCUGUCUCCUCCUCUGAUGGCCGCCCACUCCACAGGGCCCCUCCCACAGCCACUGUCUGGUCUGCGGUGCUCUCUGUGGGCUCUGAACAGGGCUGUCCUGCCAGGCCCUGUUCAGCUUCUCUGGAAGAUUCUCUUCCUGGGCAGAGAGAGGCUAGAAUUCCGGAGGAGCUGGGCCUUGCUUGAGUUCCCCAGGACGUCCCAGGAGGCCUCCAUACCAGUCCCUGAGCAGGGAGGCAGGGGCCGGGUGCCUACAGCAGAGGGAUCCAGGGUGCAGAGCCCAGCAGCCCCAGCCUUGGAGGUGAGACACUCCACUCUGUACCUCAGGAACCUCCCAGAAAUGCCCCUGGCCUGGCCUGAGCCCCUGUGAGCUGCAGGGGGCUGGGAUCUGACCCAUGGGGCAGGGGACCCAGGCUCACAACCCAGGCUCUUCCUCAGAGGCUUCCAGCAUCUUCCAGUGUAGAGCUCAGGGCCCUGUAGGCCUGUGCCCUCUCCCACUUCCAGGAUGCAGAGAGCAGCCACUCUGCCUUCUCCCUGUGUGGUGCCUGUCCCCUUUGGGGGCCUCAGCUGCCCUAUCCACUGCUGAAGAGCCCUGGAUAGGCCAGGGUUCCUGUUCUCUCCAAAGUAGUGCUACUUACAAGGAAGCCACAGGGACCCCAAAGCAGGGCCUCAGGGAGCUGCUAAUUCUUCCAAGGGACCUGGUCUCACUAUCAGAUUCCAGCAUUGAGUGACACCAUUGAGUGACACACCAAGGCAGGAGCUGGUGCCAGCAAUAGCAUGACUCUAGGAGGAUCAAGGGGGGACCUCCCGAGCCUGAGCCACAGGCAGACCGUCUAGGCCACAGUGGGGCCCAGAGACAGUGGUUCACGGCCACCAGGGUCACACCUGACUGGGUGGAAAAGGCAGCCAGGGUUCCAGGGGUGCAGACAUCCCCACCCACCCCAGGAAGCCCCCAUCAGUACCCCACACCCCUCGCCUGCCUGCUCCAGGGUGGGGACGGAGCUGCUUGGGAGAGGAGAGGGAGGGUGGCUCAGGGCCAGGACCAGGGCUCACAGGGACCAGGCAGCAGGAUACUCCUCAAGUCACUGUCUCAGGAGGACAUGAGCAGAGGGGCCUCGCCUGCCCCAGGCCAAGGCAGGGCAGGCCUUAGGUCCAAGCCGCAGCCAGCAGCCAGCAGCCUAGUGUGGGGACGAUGCCCUGUGCAGCCAGAGCGUCAGGGGACAGACCAGAGCUGAGCGGCCUCAUUAGGCUCCGACCUGUUUUCCACUUCCGGCCUGCGCUGGGGUGGCUGCCAUAGUAACCUCACAGACCGAGGUGACAGGCAGCUCCUGGACGUACCCAAGGAGACAUCUCAGACCCCAGAGUCUGUGGGACCUGGGGAGACAAACCAGGGCCUUGAGGGAGGGGUGUCCUGGGAGAGGGGGAGCAGGGGAGGGUGCGUUUUGCGCCCCGCCCCUCCCAGCCCUUGGGGACCCUCGAACGUGGUCCUAUUUAAUCUUCACAACCUUACAGAGCUGCAGGUCGGCCACCUUGAGCGCCAGCUCCCUGGGCCCUGCACUCUAUACCCACUGGCUCUUUGGGGGCUCCACAUCCUGCUGCUGAAGGAAUCAUGCUCCCCAUCUCCCAGGGGUCACCCUGAGCCUCUGGGAGGCACAGCCACAGGGCCACAGCUGCAUGGCUCAUGGUCAGUGCCCACAGGGCCACAGAGCCAGACUCCCGGGCUGCUCUUUGAAUCAUGGAGACCCUGAUCUCUCCUGGUGCCUGCAGGCUUCUUGGAACCCAUGGGUCAGAGUUCAGUCAGGACACAGGAACCGCAGCACAGUGAUCUGAAGGGGUGGCAUUUAUUAUAAAGAAAGAGCUAUGGGAGGGCAGUGGCUGGUGGGAGGCAGGAGCCAACAUGAACAGAAUCCUAGGGCUGACACCACCUUGGAAGGUGGGGUUCAGGUCUCGUGGAGGUCUGUGGUUGCAGCCCGCCCCGCCCCCCGCGUUGGCAGAGACCACGGUUGCUUCCUGGAGGAGCCCAUGCUGGACACACCUGUCAGGAUCCAAGGGAGAGCGAGGGGGGACUACUGCAGGUGGAGCAUCAGGAGGGUCACAGCAAGGUGGUCACCAGACCCAGGACGGGCUUGCUGCGGGUCAUGCAGGCUGGGGCACAGCUGGGGCGAUGCCUACUGGCUUCCUCCCUCUGAGAGAAGGUUGCAGAAGGAGCAGGAAGAUGCCCAACAGCUUUCUCGCCGUGUCCCUCCAGCGCCCUCUACUGACGACGCCGAACACCGUGACCCUGUGCAGAAGGCCCCUGAGCCCCAUCCAGCAAGGGCUCGCAGGGGAAUCCACAGCCCAGACGCAGUAACGGACUGUGGGCCUGCAAACUACCGCCACAGGGCCACAUCGGGGAUGCUGCCUGUUAUUGUGCAGCUCAGGAUCUAAGAAGUUUUUCUGAACCUUUUUAAAUGAUUAAAAAAUAAUUUAGAGAAGAAUAA